rnacentral:rRNA from 1 species
UACGGAGGGUGCAAGCGUUGUCCGGAUUUACUGGGCGUAAAGGGCGUGUAGGCGGGACGGUCAGUCGGAGGUGAAAGGUGAGGGCUCAACUCUCACACUGCCUUCGAUACUGCCGUUCUUGAAUGCAGGAGAGGAUAGUGGAAUUCUCGGUGUAGCGGUGGAAUGCGCAGAUAUCGAGAGGAACACCCGUGGCGAAAGCGGCUAUCUGGCCUGACAUUGACGCUAAGGCGCGAAAGCAUGGGGAGCAAACAGG